AGCAGCCGCGGUAAUUCCAGCUCCAAUAGCGUAUAUUAAAGUUGUUGCAGUUAAAAAGCUCGUAGUUGAAUUUCGGGAUCAAUAUGUUGGUCGUGCCUCGGUACGUACUAGCUUAUUGGUUUCUCCUUUCUGAAGAACCAUGAUGUCAUUUAUUUGGUGUCGUGGGGAAUCAGGACUGUUACUUUGAAAAAAUUAGAGUGUUUAAAGCAGGCUCACGCUUGAAUACAUUAGCAUGGAAUAAUGAAAUAGGACGUUUGAUUCUAUUUUGUUGGUUUCUAGGAUCGACGUAAUGAUUAAUAGGGAUAGUUGGGGGCAUUAGUAUUCAAUUGUCAGAGGUGAAAUUCUUGGAUUUAUUGAAGACUAACUACUGCGAAAGCAUUUGCCAAGGAUGUUUUCAUUAAUCAAGAACGAAAGUUAGGGGAUCGAAGACGAUCAGAUACCGUCGUAGUCUUAACCAUAAACUAUGCCGACUAGGGAUCGGAUGAUGUUAAUUUUUAAUGACUCAUUCGGCGCCUUAAC
rnacentral:sRNA from 1 species